rnacentral:tRNA from 1 species
GCGAGGGUGGCGGAAUGGCAGACGCACUAGCUUGAGGUGCUAGCGGUUUCACGACUGUGUGGGUUCAAGUCCCAUCCUUCGCA